AUUAAACGCUGGCGGCAUGCCUUACACAUGCAAGUCGAACGGCAGCACGGGGGCAACCCUGGUGGCGAGUGGCGAACGGGUGAGUAAAGCAUCGGAACGUGCCCUGGAGUGGGGGAUAACGUAGCGAAAGUUACGCUAAUACCGCAUAUUCUGUGAGCAGGAAAGCAGGGGGAUCGCAAGACCUUGCGCUCUGGGAGCGGCCGAUGUCGGAUUAGCUAGUUGGUGGGUAAAGGCCUACCAAGGCGACGAUCCGUAGCGGGUCUGAGAGGAUGAUCCGCCACACUGGGACUGAGACACGGCCCAGACUCCUACGGGAGGCGGCAGUGGGGAAUUUUGGACAAUGGGCGAAAGCCUGAUCCAGCCAUGCCGCGUGAGUGAAGAAGGCCUUCGGGUUGUAAGACGUCUUCGGUGGGGGUAACGGUAAAAGUUGUACGAUAAGGUACG
rnacentral:rRNA from 1 species